UAAAUUUGAAAAUUAUACCUAAAUCAUAUAAAAAAAAUGAUAAUAAAAAAAGAAAACUGAAUGUUGUAGAUCCUAAAAGCAUAAUUAUCUUAUAGAUCCAAAAUUUAUAGUUGUAUAAGAAAUUAAUAGUUAAAAGGAAGUGCUUAAGAUAUUAGAAAAUUACCUUAUUCUGGGUAAUGUUUAUUUGUGCAAUCAAUUACAUGAAAAAUGAGAUCAAGAUCACUAGAAUUUUGAUGUGAAAGAAGUUGAUGAAGGUUAGGGAAGCAAGAAAACUGAGGCAUAGUGUUGAGUGUUGGGCAAGAUGAGAGUAGGGAAGAUAGUGGGGGAAAGAAAAGUUUCUUGACCUGAGUUAUAAGGGCGCAAUCCUUGUACUCUGCAUGUGUCACAGGGCAUAAGAGCAGUUACUGGUGACAUGACAUUGUUUCAGUGUGAUUUCAAAAUCGCCAUCUCAUAAACAAUAAAAUAUAGUAUCAAACUCCCCAAACUCUGCUACAAGAUGGGUAGCGUUGCCCGUUAUUUAAAAUCCUGAUCUAGGUGCACAAAGUCAAGCAAUAUUUGUAUUUCAGUUAUUAUUAUUAUUUUUUUAAUGUAAUUGUAAAUUAUUUUAUCUUUUUAAAAUGAAGUAAAGAGUAAGUGUCAGAUGAAAGAUCGCUACUUAUUAGUAUGAUGAAAUUUAUGAAAGAGAAAAAUUCCCUUUUAUUAUGUAUCAUAAAAUUAUUAUGUAAUCCAUUGAAUUAUGUUAGGCAGCAUUAGUUAACAGCUUAAAAAGUGCAGACGU
rnacentral:misc_RNA from 1 species